GAUGAACGCUGGCGGCGUGCCUAAUACAUGCAAGUCGAACGAAACUUCUUUAUCACCGAGUGCUUGCACUCACCGAUAAAGAGUUGAGUGGCGAACGGGUGAGUAACACGUGGGCAACCUGCCCAAAAGAGGGGGAUAACACUUGGAAACAGGUGCUAAUACCGCAUAACCAUAGUUACCGCAUGGUAACUAUGUAAAAGGUGGCUAUACUACCGCUUCUGGUUGGGCCCGCGGCGCAUUAGCUAGUUGGUAGGGUAAAGGCUUACGAAGGCAAUGACGCGUAGCCGAAUUGAGAGGGUGAACGGCCACAUUGGGACUGAGACACGGCCCAAACUCCUACGGGAGGCAGCAGUAGGGAAUCUUACGCAAUGGGCGAAAGCCUGAUGGAGCAACGCCGCGUGAGUGAAGAAGGUCUUCGGAUCGUAAAACCCUGUUGUUAGAGAAGAAAGAACGUGAGAGUAACUGUUCACGUUUUGACGGUACCUAACCAGAAAGCCACGGCUAACUACGUG
rnacentral:rRNA from 1 species